rnacentral:rRNA from 1 species
GACGAACGCUGGCGGCGGGCUUAACACAUGCAAGUCGAACGGAAGGGCCCUGCUUGUGUGGGGUUCUCGAGUGGCGAACGGGUGAGUAACCCGGGAAUAACCUUCCCUGGACGUUGGGAUGACUGCAGGAAACUGGUGCUAAUACCGGCGAGGAGCUGCUGCUGCAGGGGGGGGUUUGGAAAGUUUCGGCGGUUGGGGGUGGACUCGCGGCUUAUCAGCUUGUUGGUGGGGUAGUGGCUUACCAAGGCUUUGACGGGUAGGCCGCCUGGGAGGGUGACCGGCCACAUUGGGACUGCGAGACGGCCCAGACUGCUACGGGAGGCAGCAGUGGGGAAUAUUGCACAGUGGGCGGACGCCUGAUGCAGAAACGCCGCGUGCGGGAUGACGGCCUUCGGGUUGUAAACCGCUUUCGCCUGUGACGAAGCGUGAGUGACGGUACUGGGUAAAGAAGCACCGGCUAACUACGUG